rnacentral:rRNA from 1 species
UACGUAGGCAGCGAGCGUUGCUCGGAAUGACUGGGCGUAAAGGGCGCGUAGGCGGUUUGUACAGUCAGGUGUGAAAUUCCCGGGCUCAACCUGGGGGCUGCACUUGAUACGUAUGGACUGGAGUGGGGAAGAGGGUCGUGGAAUUCCCAGUGUAGAGGUGAAAUUCGUAGAUAUUGGGAAGAACACCGGUGGCGAAGGCGGCGACCUGGUCCUUGACUGACGCUGAGGCGCGAAAGCGUGGGGGAGCAAACAGG